rnacentral:lncRNA from 1 species
CUCAGACAGAAGCAGGUACUAUAGAGCCAAAUAAAUCUAUAGCUAGUCCAGUUCAAACGGAAGCUGGUAAAGACUUAUCAAAUCCGUUUAUGGUUCUGGGCUUACCAAAAGCUCAACAGACUCAGAGGACUGUUGAUUCCUCUACUUCUCAGACUCAACAGGCUGAAAAUCCUGUUACAUAUAAUAAAGAAGAUCAGACACAGCAGACUGAUAAUUCUGCUACUAGACUUAUUAGUCCAUUAGAUCUUAAACAGAAAAGUCCAAUUAAUUUUCCAGGAUCAUUCCAAUCAGCUCAAGAUCCAGAUCAAAUUUCUCAAUCAGAUAUUAGAAAGAUUAAAGAGAUGUUUGAAAAGAUUGAAGAAAUUCAGCAACAAGUUAAACAAAGUACUACUAAGAAAAAGAAAUUACAAAUUAAAAAGAAAAACAAAGGAAAAAAGAAGAUUGAACAAGAAAGAGAUUUGGAUAAUAAUUCAGAAGACAACCCAGAAGACUUUACUGACGGAGGAGAUUCUUUAGAUAGUAUUGGCAGACACAAUUAUGCAACAAGAUGAGAGAUUUUUCAGACAGGUGUAAAGAAUUGAUAUAGAUGCAUCAGAAAAAUGAAGAAAAGACAAGAAGUUUCUGGCAAAAGAAUCAACAGAUUAGAGAUUUUUUCCAGAUGUCAAGACUUUUUUGUACGAAAAGAAGAUUUUACUAUUUACUUUUUGAAAAUUUUGUAAAAGAAUCUUACUAUUAUAUAAAGUAAGAUUUGAUAGGAUAGCUUUUACUAUUCUCUUUUUGACGUUUUGAAAAAAGCAAAGAUUCCUUGCUUUUAGAUAACGUCUAUCUUAUUUUUCUUCUCCUAUAAAAGGAGAUCAUUCUUUCAUUUGUAAGAACACGGAAGAACAUAUAUACAAUACAAGUUUCUAAUUCUCUCAAAUAUGUUCUAAUUUUCCUUCUUUCCCGAAAGGGAAAUUCUUAAUUGUUCUUAUUCUUAGAUGAAAUAAUAUCCUACAAAAAUAUUUAUAUUUUUAAACUACCGAUGGAUCAUUCCGGUAGAUAUGUUUUAUAUAGUUCUAAAGAUAUGGUGCUAAUAGUUAAUAUUAGUUCCAGAUCUUAUAAGAACAUUUAUGUUCAAAAAAUUUUAAUGAUUUUGUAAAGAUUUUUAUGUUUCAUGAUGAGUAUAUGAUAAGAGCAUGUCUUAACUUCAAGUUUAAAGUUUAAAACUGUUUUUAAAAUAAGCCCUGAGUGACCUCUCAAAGCGUAAAGGCCCAGUGGAGAGGCUAGGAGACGCAUAGAAGAGGGAAAGGGAUCACUGUUUUAAGAAUUCUUGUUAAGGGAGUGCCAGUGGUGUCCUUACAAGAAUGGAGUUAGGCCCAAGUUCAUAUAUCUCAGAUGGCAUAUUUCAAAUUAUGUUUUAAAAAAAAAAAAAAAAAAAGGAUAUUAUUUUAUCAAAAGAAGAAGAAAACCUCAAUUAAGAAGAGUACUGAGUAGGAUUUUCUUAUAAACAUCCNCCAAAUUAUUUUAUUGCUCCUUCUUUAAAAAAUGUUUCAGAUCAACCUUUAGAUUAUUCUUCAAGAUUUUGUGAUCAUUGUGAAUGUAUGACAAAGAACUUUAAAAUUUUAAAUGAAUCAAAUCAGACUUUGCAACAAGAAAAAUUAGCAUUACAAAAGAAGAUCUCUGAUUUGGAGCAAGAGAUUAUUAAUUUAAAAAUUUCAAAUCCUAUUUCUCAGACAGAAGCAGGUACUAUAGAGCCCAAUAAAUCUAUAGCUAGUCCAGCUCAAACGGAAGCUGGUAAAGACUUAUCAAAUCCGUUUAUGGUUCUGGGCUUACCAAAAGCUCAACAGACUCAGAGGACUGUUGAUUCCUCUACUUCUCAGACUCAACAGGCUGAAAAUCCUGUUACAUAUAAUAAAGAAGAUCAGACACAGCAGACUGAUAAUUCUGCUACUAGACUUAUUAGCCCAAUAGAUCUUAAACAGAAAAGCCCAAUUAAUUUUCCAGGAUCAUUCCAAUCAGCUCAAGAUCCAGAUCAAAUUUCUCAAUCAGAUAUUAGAAAGAUUAAAGAGAUGUUUGAAAAGAUUGAAGAAAUUCAGCAACAAGUUAAACAAAGUACUACGAAGAAAAAGAAAUUACAAAUUAAAAAGAAAAAUAAAGGAAAAAAGAAGAUUGAACAAGACAGAGAUUUAGAUGACUCCAAAGACAAUAAUUCAGAAGAUAAUCCAGAAGAUUUUACUGAUGGAGGAGAUUCUUUAGACAGUAUUGGCAGACACAAUUAUGCAACAAGAUAAGAGAUUUUUCAGACAGGUGUAAAGAAUUAAUCAGACAGCUGGAGAAAAGACAAGAAGUCUCUAGAAAAAGAAUAUAUUGAUUGAAGAUUUUUGUCCAGACGUCAAGACUUUUGAAGAUUUUUUACUAUUUACUUUUUGAAAAAUCUGUAAAAGAAUCUUACUAUUAUAUAAAGUAAGAUUUGAUAGGAUAGCUUUUACUAUUCUCUUUUUGACGUUUUAAAAAAAGCAAAGAUUCCUUGCUUUUAGAUAACGU